GACGAACGCUGGCGGCGUGCUUAACACAUGCAAGUCGAACGGUAAGGCCCUUCGGGGUACACGAGUGGCGAACGGGUGAGUAACACGUGGGUGAUCUGCCCUGCACUUCGGGAUAAGCCUGGGAAACUGGGUCUAAUACCGGAUAGGACCCUGGGAUGCAUGUCCUGGGGUGGAAAGCUUUUGCGGUGUGGGGUGGGCCCGCGGCCUAUCAGCUUGUUGGUGGGGUGAUGGCCUACCAAGGCGACGACGGGUAGCCGGCCUGAGAGGGUGACCGGCCACACUGGGACUGAGAUACGGCCCAGACUCCUACGGGAGGCAGCAGUGGGGAAUAUUGCACAAUGGGCGCAAGCCUGAUGCAGCGACGCCGCGUGAGGGAUGACGGCCUUCGGGUUGUAAACCUCUUUCAGCACCGACGAAGCGCAAGUGACGGUAGGUGCAGAAGGAGGACCGGCCAACUACGUGCCAGCAGCCGCGGUAA
rnacentral:rRNA from 1 species